GAUGAAGAACGUAGUGAAAUGCGAUAAGUAGUGUGAAUUGCAGAAUUCAGUGAAUCAUCGAAUCUUUGAACGCACAUUGCGCCCCUUGGUAUUCCAUGGGGCAUGCCUGUUCGAGCGUCAUUUGUACCUUCAAGCUCUGCUUGGUGUUGGGUGUUUGUCUCGCCUCUGCGUGUAGACUCGCCUCAAAACAAUUGGCAGCCGGCGUAUUGAUUUCGGAGUGCAGUACAUCUCGCGCUUUGCACUCAUAACGACGACGUCCAAAAGUACAUUUUUACACUCUUGACCUCGGAUCAGGUAGGGAUACCCGCUGAACUUAAGCAUAUCAAUAAGCGGAGA
rnacentral:misc_RNA from 1 species